UACGUAGGGGGCAAGCGUUGUCCGGAAUUAUUGGGCGUAAAGAGCGUGUAGGCGGCCCGGUAAGUCCGCUGUGAAAGUCGGGGGCUCAACCCUCGGAUGCCGGUGGAUACUGUCGGGCUCGAGUACGGAAGAGGCGAGUGGAAUUCCUGGUGUAGCGGUGAAAUGCGCAGAUAUCAGGAGGAACACCAAUUGCGAAGGCAGCUCGCUGGGACGUUACUGACGCUGAGACGCGAAAGCGUGGGGAGCAAACAGG
rnacentral:rRNA from 1 species